CCUACGGGUGACAGCAGUGGGGAAUAUUGCACAAUGGGGGAAACCCUGAUGCAGCGACGCCGCGUGAGUGAAGAAGUAAUACGUUAUGUAAAGUUCUAUCAGCAGGGAAGAAAAUGACGGUACUUGAGUAAGAAGCCCCGGCUAACUACGUGAACGCAGCCACGGUAAACCGUAGGGGGCAAGGGUUAUCCGGAUUUACUGGGUGUAAGGGGAGCGCAGGCGGCACGGCAGGCCUGAUGUGAAAGCCCGCGGCCCAACCGCUGAACUGCAGUGGGAACUGCCGGGCUGGAGUGCCGGUGAGGUAGGCGGAAUGCGUGGUGUAGCGGUGAAAUGCGUAGAUAUUAGGAGGAACACCAGUGGCGAAGGCGGCUUACGGGACUGUGACUGACGUUGAGGCUCGAAAGCGUGGGGAGCAAACAGGAUUAGAUACCCCGGUAGUC
rnacentral:rRNA from 1 species